rnacentral:rRNA from 1 species
UACGUAGGCAGCGAGCGUUGUUCGGAAUUACUGGGCGUAAAGAGUGUGUAGGCGGUGCUCCCAGUCUGUUGUGAAAUCUCCCGGCUUAACUGGGAGGGUGCGCCGGAAACUGGAAGGCUUGAGUACCGGAGAGGAUAGCGGAAUUCCUGGUGUAGCGGUGAAAUGCGUAGAUAUCAGGAGGAACACCUGCGGUGUAGACGGCUAUCUGGACGGUCACUGACGCUGAGACACGAAAGCGUGGGUAGCAAACAGG